rnacentral:rRNA from 1 species
CCUACGGGAGGCAGCAGUGAGGAAUAUUUGUCAAUGGCCGCAGGGCUGAACCAGCCAAGUCGCGUGAAGGAUGACGGCCCUACGGGUUGUAAACUUCUUUUGUCAGGGAGCAAUUGAGUCCACGUGUGGUCUUAGCGAGAGUACCUGAAGAAAAAGCAUCGGCUAACUCCGUUCCAGCAGCCGCGGUAAUACGGAGGAUGCGAUCGUUAUCCGGAUUUAUUGGGUUUAAAGGGUGCGUAGGCGGAAUAUCAAGUCAGCGGUAAAAAUUCGGGGCUCAACCCCGUAGUGCCGUUGAAACUGAUGUUCUUGAGUGGGCGAGAAGUAUGCUGAAUGCGUGGUGUAGCGGUGAAAUGCAUAGAUAUCACGCAGAACUCCGAUUGCGAAGGCAGCAUACCGGCGCCCAACUGACGCUGAAGCACGAAAGCGUGGGUAUCGAACAGGAUUAGAUACCCCGGUAGUC